rnacentral:rRNA from 1 species
GCUUACCGGGCCACACCGGCCUGAGUACGCCUGAUCUCGUCUGAUCUCGGAAGCUAAGCAGGGUCGGGCCUGGUUAGUACUUGGAUGGCGAGACCGCCUAGGAAUACCAGGUGCUGUAAGCU